GGCCUCAUUUAAGGCUGACUGCCACUGAGCAAGGCUCUUUUUCUGGACAUCCCUUCUUGGUGGAGCUUUUCCCUGUGAACCUAGAUCUUUGGAGAUAGAAAGAAAACAGAACAGACACAUAUCUGAAUGCAAAGAAAUAACCUCUUAUAUACUACUGUUUAUUGCAUGAAAACUAGGUCCCGGAUGUUAUGGAAAAUAAAUAGUUCCACAAAUCUAUAGAAGUGCUUCACCAGACAGUGGCGAUUUCUCUAAGGGUAUCCAGCUCUCUAUACCUGCUCAUUCAGGACUAUUAGACCACCUAGGAUGGAGGAAGACCGCUCAGCACUUUAAACAUAGUAAGACACAGCAUAUGAUGCUGCUACAAAAUGAGUCAUACUGGUGAAAUAGUCUGCUCCAAUGGAGUAGCUCUAGUUCUGUCACAAUCUUGAUCAAAGGGAGUCUGUCUCAUUGCUUGGUCGUGGCUGGAUGGACACUCACUUUCUGACCAUGCCAGAAGAGUUUAGCCAACCCAUCUGUUUCUAAUUCAAGACUUGUGGUCCAGAAAUAUGAGUGGUUACAUGAAAGAAAUUGAACUUGCUGUACUAAUUUAUGCUUGUACAAAAUACAGAGGAUGGUACUGGUGGAUCUAAAUAAAAACCUAAUUAAUGGAUUAAUGGUGGUAGUGCUUCUGUUGUCUUUUUAAUAGAAAA